GGCGGGGGGGCGGAGGGUCCUCAGCCCAGAUUGUGAGAUGGCACAGGCCAGGCUGAAGGACCUCCCCAUUGCACA
rnacentral:pre_miRNA from 1 species